UAAGGAGAAAGUCCUACAACAUAACUAGAUGAGGUUACGGCAGGCACUAAAUCUGCCCCGAGUGCUUGACUCAGCCUCACCUGAUCCGCUGCAACAGCCUCCCCUCUGGACUGAGAUGGAAGUGGGACGGCUGGAUGACCAUGACAUUGGACCUCCAGUAGUGCUCGUGAAGAGAUGCAUCUUGGAAAGGAGGAUCUGCCUGCAUUCCUGACAUCACCCUUGGGAUUUCUCCUCUGCUCUCCAGGCCUCUGGCUCUCCCUGCUGGUUCUGUGCUGGGUCACCUGCCACUGCUCAGCCAGCAUGCCCUGCAGAAGUUGGCUGGAGCCAGCUGGUGGUGACUUGCCAGAGACUCUGGUUAAAUAGGAAUUUUGCAAGCUGGUUGUUAAACCAUUGGUAGCUUGAAAUCAGCCUUGGUGGGAGUAUUUAUAACCCAGUAAUUGGCAAAUACUACAAAUCAAGUCUUGCCUCCAGCAGCUUACCAGUACUCCACAGCUUACCUGCUCCUCUUAGUACCAAUGAAAACACCUACAUCACCUCGUUUUAAUAGCGACAAACUUGAGAAUUUUUGAUACAAAUAUUUACUAGGAAAAAAAGAAAAGAAA
rnacentral:lncRNA from 1 species